GGACCGGUGUAAAGCUAAUCAAACCAUAACUAUAUAUUCGACAUAUUCUUCCGACACUGAACAAGUUCAGACAGUUUUUACUUUUUCACACACUCUCUCUCUCUCUCUCUCUCUCUCUCUCUCUCUCUCUCUCUCUCUCUCUCCCAAUUGCUUCGCUGUUAUUUGAUCCUUACGCGAAAUCAUUCAUCCCCUCUCUCUCUAAACAACCUAAAAUCAGUGAGACAAUCGAUUUUCUGUUCUCUUAAUUAAAUUUUACUAUCACAACUUACGGAAAGUUUAACCUGAAAUUCAAGAUUUUCUGUUCUUCUUCUAUUGAUUGAUCAACUAGGAGAGACUUUCCUCUUGUUUUGUUUUGUAUUGUUUCUAUGGAAUCAAUUAGAAAGCAAGCAAGUAAACUGAGAGAACAAGUAGCAAGACAACAACAGGCAGUCUUGAGGCAAUUAGGGCAUUUUGCUAGUGAUUUUGGUAUUGCUGAUGAAGCUGAAAUUGAAUGCCACGAACAACUUCAACAUCUUUACAACUCUACCAGAGUCGCAAAGCAUUUUCAGAGGAACAUAGUUCGAAAUGUCGAAAGUUUUGUUUCUAUCAGCACGAAACAAUUGGAAUUAGUAAAAAAGCUAGCCGAAGAUUGUUGCAGAUAUGGGAAUGAGAAUCAAAGCUCUAAUGCUCUUGCAAAUGCAGCAUUUGAGUUUGGUGCCUCACACAAGUCAAUGGAGGAAGAGAUGGAGAAUUUUGUUAAGAUUCUUGAUUCUCAGGUUUCAGAGCCACUACGGGCGUCAAUAGUUGGAGCUCCUUUAGACGAUGCUCGACAUUUGACUCACCGGUAUGACAGAAUCCGCCAGGAGGUGGACGCUCAGGCAGCAGAGGUCAGGAGACGCCAACUAAAAUCCGUGGAGGCUGGAUCUACAUCAGAGGUUAAUGCUAUAAAGCUAAAAAAUGCUGAGAUGAAAUUAGAGGAGCUGAAAUCUACUAUGAUGGCACUGGGAAAGGAAGCAACGGCUGCUAUGCUUUCAGUUGAAGAUCAGCAACAACGGCUUACUUUUCAAAGGAUUCUCACUAUGGUAAAUGCUGAAAGGUCUUAUCAUCGUAGUGCUGUUGACAGUUUAGAGCAGCUCUACGCGGAGAUGAUCAUAUCGAAGCAGCAGAUCGAGACUGCAUCAGAACCAGCUCCAGCUACGACUGAUGUAUAUGUUCCACCUGCACCUGCAGAUAGUAACUCUGAUAAAUUUGAUGAUGUCGAGCCUGGUAUUCACAGCAGCACCAGUUUCAUAGCAGAAGUUAUACAUCCAUUUGAUGCUCAAGCAGAUGGAGAACUUGGUCUCUGUGUUGGUGACUACAUUGUGGUUCGCCGGGUACUUACUGUCCCCAAUAUAAGCCUCCAGCACCUAAUUCCAUAAACCAACCCUCCUGUGAUUAAUCAAUUUUUCGGAUUCCAUAGUCAAUUUGAGCUAUAGAGUAGAGAUGGUCAAGAGUCCGGGUUGGUAACCUGAAUGAAUCGAUGGGGUUGUUGGCCUAGAUAUCAUGCGCAGGCAGUACAAUCUCUCAAAGCAUUAAAAUUCUGUCUUUGGAUCACGUAUGAAGCAGAAUAUAUCACAUCUUUUUAUCCCUUGGGAAACGUGGAUUGCACUUUACAACUGACAAAGCAGUUUUUCGCUGCUUCUUGCUUUCUUAAUUUAUAUGUCACUCCACACGGAUGGUCUGAAGGAGAGCACAUGGGUAAAGCAGGAUGGUUUCCUUCUGCAUAUGUCGAAAAGCGGGAUAUAGCUCCAGUGAGCAAAGUGACCGAACUGGCAAGUUAAUUGCCUUGAUAAUCAGCAUAUCCCAGUUCCUCCUCAAAACUCCAUCUGACUGGUUUUGUAAGUGUAGUUAUUUGUGAAUUUCUACUCUUUUUUCCCCAUCGUAUUUGUAUGAGCCUGUCUUAUGGAUGUAACUUUUUGGGUUCACUCAAGGUGUGGUUUAUAUCUAGCGUGUAAUAAUCUGAUAUUCAUAUACAGCUUGUAUUUCUAUUUGUAAAUCAUCUGUCUAUUUUAAUGGAAAAGAGUUCUCUCAUUGAUUAUAA